UUCACAAAAAUUAAAGGGAAGAAUGGCAUUGCAAUGAGGUUUAGAUAAGUUAGAAAUGAAACCACGCAGUGUUCUGCAGGGCCUGUUAGCAUUUGACAUUUAUCUGAAGAAUAGAAAGUAGUAAAUGUGUCUGGUCUUAGUCUAGACUAAGAUCAAGAUCAAUCCAGAGUAAUCAUAUAUUCAAUUGAACAUUUUAUAUUUUAUAUUAAAUUAGAAAGCUGAUGUAGGACUAUUGGUUAGAAAUGAAAGAGAGGUAGGAGACAUUGAUUCAAUUGGAGACAGUGUGAUGCUCAGAUACAAAAAUUUUAGAGAACCAGAUUGAAAUUUCUGCUAUCACUUUCAUUAUUUCUGUGAUGGUAAAUAAGUCAUUUAACAUCUCCAAGCUUCAGUUUCUUAAUUGUAAAACAGUAAUAAUAAUAGCACCUCUCUGACACAAGGUUGUUAAAUAUAAGUAUAAAUACAUGUAACAGGAAUUGAAUGAUAUAGUUUUGCAAUGGUCCCGCCCCUAAAAUCAUAAAGCUGAAGACAAUAUAUACCAUUUUCCCAGUAAUCUAUGUUAUCAUUAUCUACUUUACCCCACGUCCUUUAUGUUUUCAGGGCUUUUCCUGCAUUUCUACUUACAGCACUUUCAGUUUCUUUCUUCUUUCUUUUGUAGAAUUUCUUCUUUCUGCCUAUCUUUUU
rnacentral:lncRNA from 1 species